rnacentral:rRNA from 1 species
UGUGUCAGUAGCCGCGGUAAUACGUAGGGUGCAAGCGUUAAUCGGAAUUACUGGGCGUAAAGCGUGCGCAGGCGGUUUUGCAAGACAGUGGUGAAAUCCCCGGGCUCAACCUGGGAACUGCCAUUGUGACUGCAAGGCUAGAGUGCGGCAGAGGGGGAUGGAAUUCCGCGUGUAGCAGUGAAAUGCGUAGAUAUGCGGAGGAACACCGAUGGCGAAGGCAAUCCCCUGGGCCUGCACUGACGCUCAUGCACGAAAGCGUGGGGAGCAAACAGGAUUAGAUACCCUGGUAGUCCACGCCCUAAACGAUGUCAACUGGUUGUUGGGGAUUUAUUUCUUCAGUAACGAAGCUAACGCGUGAAGUUGACCGCCUGGGGAGUACGGCCGCAAGGUUAAAACUCAAAGGAAUUGACGGGGACCCGCACAAGCGGUGGAUGAUGUGGUUUAAUUCGAUGCAACGCGAAAAACCUUACCCACCUUUGACAUGUACGGAAUCCUGCAGAGAUGCGGGAGUGCUCGCAAGAGAGCCGUAACACAGGUGCUGCAUGGCUGUCGUCAGCUCGUGUCGUGAGAUGUUGGGUUAAGUCCCGCAACGAGCGCAACCCUUGCCAUCAGUUGCUACGAAAGGGCACUCUGAUGGGACUGCCGGUGACAAACCGGAGGAAGGUGGGGAUGACGUCAAGUCCUCAUGGCCCUUAUAGGUGGGGCUACACACGUCAUACAAUGGCUGGUACAAAGGGCUGCCAACCCGCAAGGGGGAGCCAAUCCCAUAAAGCCAGUCGUAGUCCGGAUUGCAGGCUGCAACUCGCCUGCAUGAAGUCGGAAUCGCUAGUAAUCGUGGAUCAGCAUGUCACGGUGAAUACGUUCCCGGGUCUUGUACACACCGCCCGUCACACCAUGGGAGCGGGUCUCACCAGAAGUAGGUAGCCUAACCGCAAGGAGGGCGCUUACCACGGUGGGGUUCGUGACUGGGGUGAAGUCGUAACAAGGUAACCA